rnacentral:rRNA from 1 species
AUUACCGCGGCUGCUGGCACAGAGUUAGCCGGUGCUUAUUCUGUCGGUAACGUCAAAAUUGCAGAGUAUUAAUCUACAACCCUUCCUCCCAACUUAAAGUGCUUUACAAUCCGAAGACCUUCUUCACACACGCGGCAUGGCUGGAUCAGGCUUUCGCCCAUUGUCCAAUAUUCCCCACUGCUGCCUCCCGUAGG